AAUAAAGUGGCUGAUUAUAGGCAGUAAAUUGUAAAUUUACUUAUGAAUUAAUAUUCCUUUAUUA
rnacentral:tRNA from 1 species